AUUGAACGCUGGCGGCAUGCCUUACACAUGCAAGUCGAACGGUAACAGCACUUCGGUGGCUGACGAGUGGCGAACGGGUGAGUAAUACAUCGGAACGUGCCCGAGAGUGGGGGAUAACGCAGCGAAAGCUGUGUUAAUACCGCAUACGAUCUACGGAUGAAAGCAGGGGAUUCGCAAGGACCUUGCGCUCAUGGAGCGGCCGAUGGCAGAUUAGGUAGUUGGUGGGAUAAAAGCUUACCAAGCCGACGAUCUGUAGCUGGUCUGAGAGGACGACCAGCCACACUGGGACUGAGACACGGCCCAGACUCCUACGGGAGGCAGCAGUGGGGAAUUUUGGACAAUGGGCGAAAGCCUGAUCCAGCCAUGCCGCGUGCAGGAUGAAGGCCUCGGUU
rnacentral:rRNA from 1 species